AAGGACUAUAACUUGGCAAAGCACCUAGAAAUCGAUGUGCCAAAUCUGCAAUGGUAAAUUAUUGCAUGUUCGUUGUUGUGCUUAUAUUUUAAGUUUAAUUGUGCAAGAUGGUUUGAAAACAAUAAAUCAAUCUGUAGCCAACAUUAGAAGUUUAGUAACCAUCUUUCAUACAUCACCGACCAAGUACCAAGUUUUUCUAACAUGUUGUCAAAAUAUAGGGUUAAAACUCAUAAAUGUUCCAUUAAAUGUGAAAACUAGAUGGAAUUCAACUUAUAAGAUGUUGGAAGUGGCUACAAAAUAUAAAGCAGCUUUAGGAUUAUUUCAAACAAAAAUCAAACAUCAACCAUUUUUAAUAGAUGAAGAUUGGGAUAUUGCAUCACUUUGGAGAGAACAUUUAGUUCAAUUUUAUGGAUCCACUGAAAUAAUUUAUGGCUCUCACUAUCCAACUAUUCUUUUAGUACUAAAAGAAAUAACUAAAAUAAAAGACAUUUGUCUUGAAAUUGAAAACAAUGAUCUUUUCCAAUAGCUUAAUGUUUGUGAUAUGAAGUCAAAAUUUGCAAAGUACUUUGGGGAUUUGCCCUUGAUUUAUGGUUUGGGUGUAAUUUUAGAUCCAACGAAUAAAACAAAAAAAAUUAGAAGUGCUUUGUGAAAUUCUUUAUGAAGGAAAUUCAAAUACAUUUGUGAAAAAGUGCUCACAACAUUAAAAGAGUUAUAUGGAGAGUAUAAAUUAUAUUUGUCUUUGCAUGAUAGAUCACAACAAGAACGAGCAGUACCUACAUCAUCUACAUCUUGCACUUCAACAUUUAGUAGAAAAAUAAGUCGUGUGGAUGACCUUUGUGAUUCUAAAAGGUUAAACACAAACAAUUUUUCAUAAUGAAUUAUCACACUAUCUUGAUUCACACACAAAUGAUCAUGAUGAAAAUAAUCCUUUAAGGGCUAGUUUGGCAUUGAUGUGCUAUGAAAAUAAUCGCUGUCAGAUUUGCUAUGAGAGAAAACAUUUUGGCGUUUGGUAAACUUUUUGUUAAAAGUGUUGUUGGUACUGAUUCCCACAUAAUCAGAAAAUGAUUGCCGCAUAAUCAUUAAACUCAGCGCCUCUUCGAAACUGAUUCCUGCAUAAUCAGAAAAUGAAGGCACUUCAUUAGCUGCUUUUCCUUAUAGCUUUCUCUAACAAUAAUUUUUAACAAUAAGUGAUUUUCUCAUAGUUUACAAAACGGGUUGGACUUCCCAAAUUUUUUUUAAAAUCAAUUAUAAUUCCAAAUAAGCAAUGCCAAACGGGAGCUAAAUAUUUAGGCAUGGUGGCAAUCACAGCAAAAAAAUUACAUUGUGCUUUCCACCAUGGCCCGUGAUAUACUAACCAUUCCAAUGUCUUCAGUUGCUUAUGAAUAAGCUUUUAGCAAAGGUGGACUUGUUAUAAGUGACCAUCGAGCAAGUUUGGCUCUAAGUAGUGUUGAAGCAUACGUUUGUGGAAGUGAUUGGAUUAAACAAGAAAAAAAAUGAAAGUCAAGAAGAAAAUGAGUGUACAAGAUGAACAAGAAUGGCCAUAGUGGUUUGUCUGAGAUGCAAAAUAAAUAUUUUCUUUUUUGAUUGUUUUGUAGUCUACUUCAAUUUUGUUUCAACAUAAUUUCAAAAUUUCAAGUAUUGUUAUUAUAUUUAACUAGCCUCUCUGCACGCGCUUCCGCGCUUGCGAGAGGUUUUUUUAAAAAAAAUAAGUAAAUUUAUUUUAGAAUUAAAAAAGAUAAUGGAUAUUUGUGUUCCAUAAAAAUAGGAUCCAUUAUCUGAAUUUUCUUUUAAUUUUAAUUUUUUAAUACGAAAAAUUAUGAAUUUACCAUAUUAUCCUCAUUUAAUUAAUAAUUUCAAUUCUUAAUGUUUGCAUUAACCAAGGGCAUUUUCUGGUAUUUUAAAUGUUUCGCUAUUCUCUGCCUUUUGCUUUAUAUAUAUAGAUUAUGAAUAUAAGAAAGAUAAUGGGUAGUUGUUAUUAUAUUUCAAGGUUUUGUUUGAAGAGUAGAGAGGCUUUUUUUAAAAAAAAAAUUAAAUUUAUUUUAGAAUUAAAAAAAGAUAAUAGGUAGUUGUUUUCCAUAAAAAUAAGAUUCAUUAUCUGAGUUUUCUUUUAAUUUUAAUUUUUUAAUAUGAAAAAGUGUGAAUUUACUAUAUUAUCCUCAUUUAACUAAUAAUUUCAAUUCUUAAUGUUUUCUGGUAUUUUGAAUGUUUUAUCAUUCUUUGUCUUUUGCUUAUAUAUAAUGAAUACUAGCCUCUCCGCACGCACUUCCGCGCUUGCGAGAGGCUUUUUUUAAAAAAAAAUUUAAAUUUAUUUUAGAAUUAAAAAAGAUAAUGGGUAGUUGUGUUCCAUAAAAAUAGGAUCCAUUAUCUGCUUUUUCUUUUUCUUUUUUAAAAUAUAAAAAAGUGUGAAUUUACCGUAUUAUCCUCAUUUAAUUAAUAAUUUGAAUUCUUAAUGUUUGCAUUAACCAAGGGCAUUUUCUGGUAUUUGGAAUGUUUCACCAUUCUCUGCUUUUUGCUUUAUAUAUAUAGAUGAAUGGAGUUUUUAAACAGAAAAAACGAAUGGAGUUUAAUAAAGCCAAAAUAAUGGCCCAUUUCAUAGGGCUAAAUAGGCCCGACUCAUUGGCCCGGUCACAAGCCCGAAAAUGUAAGGCCCAUGAGCUUUGUAUAUUUGACAUAGGACUGACCCGGGAGAAACGUUCCUUUCACUUGACGAAGUUGUUUUCAAAAUGGGUAAUUGCAACCCGAAUGUAACAUAACGAGUUCAACCAUGGGAUCAAUUUGAUGGCUAUAAAAGUGAUCCCGCACAAUUUACCCCGUAUUAUAACCGCGCCAAGCUUGGUAUAUUUGACAUAGGGCUCGAUAACUCUUUAGGGCUGAGAAGGCCCGUUACUAAGCCCGGCCCGUUUUACAAGCCUAAUAACAAUAGAACAAUCAGAGUGAGCAGUCAGUAAAAAUCAGGGCGGGAUUCUUGAAAUUAUUUUCUAACUUUCGUGAAACCUAAUUGAACUCAUAUUCUUUCCAGCCGCCUCCUCUUCACUGUUCUCUCGUCUUCUUCAUAUCUCGACUCUCAUUCAUCGAUCCCCUCUCUAUGCUCAUGAUUCACUGUUGUCAAAUCGCUUGAUUCUCCGGCUUGCUUUGCUCUCUCCUCACAAUAUCAGGUAUAUCUCAUAUUCCGUCUGUAUCUGAGAUAUGAUUUUUUCUCUGAUUUUGUCUAUAUAUGUUUAUUUGGUUUCUGGGUAAAAGUAACGUCAAAUUUUUAAUAUUUCCAUUUUGAUAAUUAUUGAUGCCAUCUCUAUUUGCUAUUUGAUGUUCCUUCUUUCUAGUUUUUCAGUUUUUUUAGUAUUUAAAUCCUAUUUGCAUUUGUUCUCUGUGGUUCAACAUGUCAUAUUCAUUGUUGUUUUUUCGGUACUUACAAUUUUCUCUUUUAUAUUCUGAGGGCUCUCUAACACAGGUAAAAGAGUUGCCUUUACUGUUUUUUGUAUAAUAUUUGCCUUCAUUGUUGUUUAUAUUCUCAUGGAUUUUCCGAAGCUUUUUUCGGCUCAUAACUCUAUUGGAUGUGGAUCUUCUGUAUUGGAAGAUAAGGAAUUUCUCUCUUUUAUUUUCUUCCUCUAGUGCGAGAGAGACCUCGACCUUCUUCGUUUGCCGCCGUCUCUUCCUCCAGUCAUCAGCUCAACUUCGCAACCAUGGUAUUUCUCUAUCCAAUUCUCUGUUUGUUUCCUGUGAAACUGAAAUGAAAAUGAAAAAGAAAAAGUUUGUUUGUUCAUGGUUCUGAUAUGUUACAUUUGGUUUUUUCUAUCCUAGAUCAUCUCAGAGAAGAACAGGAGAGAAAUCUCCAAAUACCUAUUCCAAGGUACACGCAAAAAGAUUAGUUUUUUAUUUAUUCUCAAUGAAAUUAGGUUCUUCGUUUCCAUUUUUUUGUUAAAAUUUAUUGAAUUUAAUUUGAACAGAGGGAGUGUGCUAUGCAAAGAAGGACUAUAACUUGGCAAAGCACCCAGAAAUCGAUGUGCCAAAUCUGCAGGUGAUUAAGCUGAUGCAGAGCUUCAAAUCCAAGGAGUAUGUGAGAGAAACUUUUGCUUGGAUGCACUACUACUGGUACCUGACCAAUGAUGGUAUUGAGUUUUUGAGGAACUACCUCAACCUUCCAUCUGAGAUUGUCCCUGCAACUUUGAAGAAGCAGGCCAAGCCUCCUGGUCGCCCCUUGGGCCCAUCUGGUGACCGCCCACGGUAAUUGAUUUGUUUCAUCGUCUAUAUUGGUUAUUGGAUCUAUUGAUUUUUGUAGAGUCUGGUUCUUUGUUCUAGAGUAUGUGAUAUCGAUCAUUUAGGAAGAAGUUAUUUAACUGAUUUGUGUAAGUAAACUGCGACAGAUAUGUGCUUCCUUUUCUUGUUCGUUUGUUGAACCCCUUGAUUGGUUGGAAUGUAAUGUGGAUGUUUUGAUGAUGUGAACAGCGGCCCACCUCGCUUUGAUGGAGGAGAACGCAGAUUUGGUGACAGGGAUGGGUACCGUUCAGGUCCUCGUGCACCAGGGGGUGAUUUUGGUGACAAGGGUGGAGCACCUGCUGACUACAGACCUUCUUUUGGGGUAAUAUUUCCGUUGUCAAGUAAUUUUUUUAAUAUUUAUCAUUUAGGUACUUGUCUUUUUACCAUGUAUUGGGUUGAAGAUCAAUUGCCUUCCGAUGAUAUUCUUUUCUUCUUUACAUUUUGGAAUUGUA
rnacentral:lncRNA from 1 species